rnacentral:sRNA from 1 species
GCUGGGCGUGGUAGCGCACACCUGUAAUCCCAGUCACUUGGGAGGCUGAGGAAGGAAGAUUGCAAGUUCGAGGCCAGCCUCAGCAACUUAGUGAGGCACUAUUCGACUUAGCAAUACUAUGUCUCAA